rnacentral:misc_RNA from 1 species
AGGAUCCAAACGUUUUCAUUCACAGAGUUGGCCGAACUGCUCGGUUGGGUAGACAAGGAAGCGCUAUCGUUUUCCUUUUGCCAAAGGAGGAAGCUUAUGUGGAAUUUCUGCAUAUAAGAAGGGUUCCUCUUCAAAAGAAGGAAGGUUCAGAUGACGCUCCUGAUGUUGUUCCUCAGAUACGGUCUGCUGCCAAGAAGGACCGAGAUGUCAUGGAGAAGGGACUGAGAGCAUUUGUUUCAUUUAUCCGUGCAUAUAAAGAGCAUCAUUGCUCGUACAUUUUCAGAUGGAAAGAACUUGAAGUUGGGAAGUUGGGCAUGGGAUAUGGCUUAUUGCAGCUUCCUUCAAUGCCUGAGGUAAAGCACCACUCACUUUCAACCAUUGGUUUUACUCCAGUUGAAGACCUCAAAUUGGAGGACAUCAAAUACAAGGAUAAAUCUCGGGAGAAACAAAGGAAGAGGAAUUUGCAAGUGAAGAAAGAAGCACAACAGCAAGAACCAAAACCUCAGAAGCCCAACAAGGCCCCCAAUGCUGCCCCAACGGUUAUGAGGAAAAAAACAGCUAAGCAGAGACGGGCUGCCCAGACAAUUGAAGAUGAAGAUGAAUUAGCGAGGGAAUAUCGAUUACUGAAAAAGCUAAAGAAGGGGACCAUCGAUGAAAGUGAAUUUGCAAAGUUAACUGGAACUGAAGAAUUACUAUAAAAAUGCAUGAUCUGCAAAUGGCCAUUUUGUGAACUGACAUGCUUAGGUUUCUGCUGGGACCUGACACUAGAGCUUACAAAAGAGAAAAGGGAGUUAAAGCACUUAUUAUGCAGGUUGACUGCAUCUGGGGGUUUUGUUGAAGACUAGAUUGGCACAACAGAUUGAGUUCUAGAUUUUCUUUCAAUGUUAUUUCUAUCUUAGAUCAAAUUUCAUGCGUUGUAUUUAAAUAUUGCAAGAAAAGGAUCAAAACCAACAUCAAGA